rnacentral:tRNA from 1 species
GGGGAUAUAGCUCAGUGGUAGAGUGUCUGCCUUGCAUGCAUGAGGCCCUGGUUUCAAUCCCCAGCUCCCCA